rnacentral:rRNA from 1 species
CGGACGGGUGAGUAAUGUCUGGGAAACUGCCUGAUGGAGGGGGGUAACUACUGGAAACGGUAGCUAAUACCGCAUAACGUCGCAAGACCAAAGAGGGGGACCUUCGGGCCUCUCGCCAUCGGAUGUGCCCAGAUGGGAUUAGCUAGUAGGUGGGGUAAAGGCUCACCUAGGCGACGAUCCCUAGCUGGUCUGAGAGGAUGACCAGCCACACUGGAACUGAGACACGGUCCAG